rnacentral:rRNA from 1 species
CCUACGGGAGGCAGCAGUGAGGAAUAUUGGUCAAUGGGCGCGAGCCUGAACCAGCCAAGUCGCGUGAGGGAGGACGGCCCUACGGGUUGUAAACCUCUUUUGCCGGGGAGCAACGGGCGUCACGUGUGGCGCCACUGAGAGUACCCGGAGAAAAAGCAUCGGCUAACUCCGUGCCAGCAGCCGCGGUAAUACGGAGGAGGCGAGCGUUAUCGGGAUUUAUUGGGUUUAAAGGGUGCGUAGGCGGAUCGUUAAGUCAGGGGUAAAAUUGAGGGGCUCAACCCCUUCCCGCCAUUGAAACUGGCGCUCUUGAGUGGAAGAGAAGUAUGCGGAAUGCGUGGUGUAGCGGUGAAAUGCAUAGAUAUCACGCAGAACCCCGAUUGCGAAGGCAGCAUGCCGGCUUCCGACUGACGCUGAAGCACGAAAGCGUGGGGAUCGAACAGGAUUAGAUACCCGUGUAGUC